GGUUUGAUUCUGGCUGGAUUGAACGCUGGCGGGAUGCUUUACGCUAUAGAUCGAACGGCAGCACGGACUUCGGUCUGGUGGCGAGUGGCGAACGGGUGAUAAUGUAUCGGAACGUGCCUAGUAGCGGGGGAUAACUACGCGAAAGCGCUAGCUAAUACCGCAUCUACGCCCUUCGAGGAAAGCGGGGGCCUUCAAGACCUCACUAUUAGAGCGGCCGAUAUCGGAUUAGCUAGUUGGUGGGGUAACAGCUCCGCAAGGCGACGAUCCGUAGCUGGUUUGAGGACGACCAGCCACACUGGGACUGAGACACGGCCCAGACUCCUACGGGAGGCAGCAGUGGGGAAUUUUGGACAAUGGGGGAAACCCUGAUCCAGCCAUCCCGCGUGUGUGAUGAAGGCGCUUCGGGUUGUAAGCACUUUUGGCAGGAAGAAAAACGGCACGGGAUAAUACCCCGUGCAACUGACGGUACCUGCAGAAUAAGCAUAAGCUAACUACGUGCCAACAGCCGCGGUAAUACGUGGUGCAAGCGUUAAUCGGAAUUACUGGGCGUAAAGCGUGCGCAGGCGGUUCGGAAAGAAAGAUGUGAAAUCCCAGAGCUUAACUUUGGAACUGCAUUUUUAACUACCGAGCUAGAGUGUGUCAGAGGGAGGUGGAAUUCCGCGUGUAGCAGUGAAAUGCGUAGAUAUGCGGAGGAACACCGAUGGCGAAGGCAGCCUCCUGGGGCUAGCACUGACGCUCAUGCACGAAAGCGUGGGGAGCAAACAGGAUUAGAUACCCUGGUAGUCCACGCCCUAAACGAUGUCAACUAGCUGUUGGGGCCUUCGGGCCUUGGUAGCGCAGCUAACGCGUGAAGUUGACCGCCUGGGGAGUACGGUCGCAAAGAUUAAAACUCAAAGGAAUUGACGGGGACCCGCACAAGCGGUGGAUGAUGUGGAUUAAUUCGAUGCAACGCGAAAAACCUUACCUACCCUUGACAUGUCUGGAAUCCCGAAGAGAUUUGGGAGUGCUCGCAAGAGAACCGGAACACAGGUGCUGCAUGGCUGUCAAGUCAGCUCGUGUCGUGAGAUGUUGGGUUGAAGUCCGCAACGAGCGCAACCCUUGUCAUUAGUUGCUACGAAAGGGGAGCACUCUAAUGAGACUGCCGGUGACAAACCGGAGGAAGGUGGGGAUGACGUCAAGUCCUCAUGGCCCUUAUGGGUAGGAGGCUUCACACGUCAUACAAUGGUGGGGACAGAGGUCGCCAACCCGCGAGGAGCCAAUCCCGGCCCGAUCGUAGUCCGGAUCGCAGUCUGCAACUCGACUGCGUGAAGUCGGAAUCGCCUUUAGUAAUCGCGGAUCAGCAUGUCGCGGUAGAC
rnacentral:rRNA from 1 species